UGGGGAAUAUUGCACAAUGGGCGCAAGCCUGAUGCAGCCAUGCCGCGUGUAUGAAGAAGGCCUUCGGGUUGUAAAGUACUUUCAGCGGGGAGGAAGGUGUUGAGGUUAAUAACCUCAGCAAUUGACGUUACCCGCAGAAGAAGCACCGGCUAACUCCGUGCCAGCAGCCGCGGUAAUACGGAGGGUGCAAGCGUUAAUCGGAAUUACUGGGCGUAAAGCGCACGCAGGCGGUCUGUCAAGUCGGAUGUGAAAUCCCCGGGCUCAACCUGGGAACUGCAUUCGAAACUGGCAGGCUAGAGUCAUGUAGAGGGGGGUAGAAUUCCAGGUGUAGCGGUGAAAUGCGUAGAGAUCUGGAGGAAUACCGGUGGCGAAGGCGGCCCCCUGGACAAAGACUGACGCUCAGGUGCGAAAGCGUGGGGAGCAAACA
rnacentral:rRNA from 1 species